rnacentral:ncRNA from 1 species
CAUCGCGAGGUGGAAUCUGAAGGAAGCCGGAGGCAAAAGCACGGCCUGAGGUACACGAAUCCAAUUUGAGGCGGUUGCAGCCGGAUGAGUCACCCAUACAUGACGAAAUCCAAAGCUGCCAAGGGCUGCAGCCGUAAACUUGGGCAGGCGCGGGCGGAAAGAUGA